rnacentral:ncRNA from 1 species
CGACCUCAGAGUAGGCGAGAUUACCCGCUGAAUUUAAGCAUAUUACUAAGAGGAGGAAAAGAAACUAACAAGGAUUUCCUUAGUAGCGGCGAGCGAACAGGAAUGAGCCCAGCACUGAAUCCCACGGUUCCGCCGUGGGGAAAUGUAGUGUUUAGGAGGGUCAAUUUAUCCCGAGAUGUCGAACUGCGUCCAAGUCCAUCUUGAAUGGGGCCAUUUACCCGUAGAGGGUGCCAGGCCCGUAGCGACCGGUACGCAUUUCGGGAGGACCUCUCUUUAGAGUCGGGUUGCUUGAGAGUGCAACCCUAAGUGGGUGGUAAACUCCAUCUAAGGCUAAAUAUAACCACGAGACCGAUAGCGAACAAGUACCGUGAGGGAAAGUUGAAAAGAACUUUGAAGAGAGAGUUCAAGAGUACGUGAAACCGUUCAGGGGUAAACCUGAGAAACCCAAAAGUUCGAAUGGGGAGAUUCAUCGGCAGCAAAGCUGGCUCCCGUUGGUGCGUGAUACCCUGACUUUGGGGCCUUCGUGGUUCCAAUGCGAGGGCACACCAUCUUUGGUGAACGUUCCGGCUAUAUGUAGUCGUGCACUUCUCCCUUAGUAGAACGUCGCGACCCAUUGCGUGUCGGUCUACGGCCAGAGUUGUUUGCCUGGCGCGUCGUCUAGUGCGCACGCGUCAGACGCUCGAUCGCCCGGCCGGCUGCGUGACGGUACUCUGACGGUAUCGGGCAGCAACCAAUCCAUUUUCGAAUGUACGUGCGUCAGGCCCGCCGCAAGCUCGGUCAGUUUACCCGGAGGUGUACGGACCUGGUGCCGUCCCCGGGCCUGGCCAGCUGUUUGCAGGCGGUGUCCUUGGACUGGCCAAGCUUCGAAUUACCGGUCGGCGACGCUACUGCUUUGGGUACUCUCAGGACCCGUCUUGAAACACGGACCAAGGAGUCUAACAUGUGCGCGAGUCAUUGGGAUAUAUAAACCUAAAGGCGCAAUGAAAGUGAAGGUCGGCCUUUGCGUCGACCGAGGGAGGAUGGGCCGUGUUACGAUUUACGGCCUCGCACUCCCGGGGCGUUUCGUUCUCAUUGCGAGAAGAGGCGCACCCAGAGCGUACACGUUGGGACCCGAAAGAUGGUGAACUAUGCCUGGUCAGGACGAAGUCAGGGGAAACCCUGAUGGAGGUCCGUAGCGAUUCUGACGUGCAAAUCGAUCGUCGGAACUGGGUAUAGGGGCGAAAGACUAAUCGAACCAUCUAGUAGCUGGUUCCCUCCGAAGUUUCCCUCAGGAUAGCUGGCACUCGCUCGUUCCUACGUUGAACGCAUGCGAGUCUCAUCUGGUAAAGCGAAUGAUUAGAGGCCUUGGGGCCGAAACGACCUCAACCUAUUCUCAAACUUUAAAUGGGUGAGAUCUCUGGCUUGCUUGAAUAUCAUAUGAAGCCACGAGAUUUUGGAUCAGAGUGCCAAGUGGGCCAAUUUUGGUAAGCAGAACUGACGCUGUGGGAUGAACCAAACGCACAGUUAAGGCGCCUAAGUCGACGCUUAUGGGAUACCAUGACAGGCGUUGGUUGCUUAAGACAGUAGGACGGUGGCCAUGGAAGGUCGGAAUCCGCUAAGGAGUGUGUAACAACUCACCUGCCGAAGCAACUAGCCCUGAAAAUGAGGAGGAAAAUGAGUCAAGUGAGGAGAGACGUGUCAUCCUCGGAUGGCCGUCCCCCAUGACGCCCUGACGAGUAAGAGGGUCGCGGCCGUGUGCGCAGAAGGGUCUGGGCGCGAUCCUGCCUGGAGCCGCCGUCGGUGCAGAUCUUGGUGGUAGUAGCAAAUACUCCAGCGAGGCCCUGGAGGACUGACGUGGAGAAGGGUUUCGUGUGAACAGCCGUUGCACACGAGUCAGUCGAUCCUAAGCCCUAAGUGAAAUCCUAUGUGAAUGAGGUGUCCUAAAACAAAUGUUUUGUGUACAAGACACACACCCGUUGGGCGAAAGGGAAUCCGGUUUCUAUUCCGGAACCCGGCAGCGGAACCGCAUACCAUUCGGGCCCUCGUAAUUGGAGACGCCGUCGGGAGAUCCGGGGAGAGUUUUCUUUUCUGUAUAAGCGUUCGAGUUCCCUGGAAACCUCUAGCAGGGAGAUAGGGUUUGGAACGCGAAGAGCACCGCAGUUGCGGCGGUGUCCGGAUCUUCCCCUCGGACCUUGAAAAUCUAGGAGAGGGCCACGUGGAGGUGUCGCGCUGGUUCGUACCCAUAUCCGCAGCAGGUAUCCAAGGUAAAGAGCCUCUAGUCGAUAGAUUAAUGUAGGUAAGGGAAGUCGGCAAAUUGGAUCCGUAACAUCGGAAUAAGGAUUGGCUCUGAGGAGCGGGGCGUGUCGGGCUUGGUCGGGAAGCGGGUUUGGCUGACGUGCCGGGCCUGGGCGAGGUGAACGGCUUCGGCCUGGAUCCGAGCUCGGUCCCGUGCCUUGGCCUCCCGCGGAUCUUCCUUGCUGCGAGGCUUCUGCAAUAGCGGUUGCCCUCUUCGGCCGCCAUUCAACGCUCAGCUCAGAACUAGCACGGACUAGGGGAAUCCGACUGUCUAAUUAAAACAAAGCAUUGCGAUGGCCCCCGCGGGUGUUGACGCAAUGUGAUUUCUGCCCAGUGCUCUGAAUGUCAACGUGAAGGAAUUCAAAAAAGCGCGGGUAAACGGCGAGAGUAACUAUGACUCUCUUAAAGAUUCCCCAAAAAGAUUUAACGAUUUUAUUGGUGAAUUGUCCGGAGGACGCCCACGAAUGCGAAUAAUGGAUUGUGAUUAUAUGUGCGAUGAUGACAUGGAUUUUGAGUUUUACACACCUAUUACUACUAAUACUACAGUUCAAAAGAAAGGUAUAUAAUACCUGUGACUGUACGGAUCCAAAUUGUUGUUUUCGUAACAUGGAGGUUACUGAUCCCAUGCUGGAAGCCAUCCCUGACUGUUGGAAUGAUUAUGCUUAUCAGACCAGCAGCAUGGCUGAGUUCUGUGCUUUGAUUGAGCGUGACGUGGAGGUUACUAAAGAGAAUAACGACCUUGACAGGCCUGAGUGGAUGUCUGUCGGUUCAUUGGCUAGUAAAGCGAUGGCGUACUUGGUACGCUUACUUACAAAAGCUGUCCGUGAUGCUCCGAUUGCUUGUAGGAAUGCGCUUGCGCAUAUUUUCCUUCGAACUGGACUGCCAGGAGGUAACGAUGAUUCUGAUUACGACACCUUAUCAGACAUCGAAAUACCAUCCCCUGGUUUAAGACCGGAACGAAUUGGUAAACUUACUCGCGAGAUUGCGAAUCUAGAGAGUUGUGUUGCUAACAUCUGCAAACAACUGGGUAAAAACCUGACUGAUUGGCGAGAGCAAGUUCGCUCACGUUAUGUUAGGAUAUUCGGUGAACAACUUACAACUUUUUUGAUCCCUGUGGACCGGGGAAUAGAGAAUACGGCCACGGUAAUCCCUGCCUGUCGUAAGAGGCGACUAAAAGGGAGAGGUGGAGACCGCGGGACUGUGUCACCUGCGGUCCAACGGAGGGGGGGGUGGGGCUUAUUGCCUCCCCCCCC